GAUGAACGCUGGCGGCGUGCCUAAUACAUGCAAGUCGAGCGAACAGACGAUGAGCUUGCUCCUCUGACGUUAGCGGCGGACGGGUGAGUAACACGUGGAUAACCUACCUCUAAGACUGGGAUAACUUCGGGAAACCGGAGCUAAUACCAGAUAAUAUAUUGAACCGCAUGGUUCAAUAGUGAAAGACGGUUUUGCUGUCACUUAUAGAUGGAUCCGCGCCGAAUUAGCUAGUUGGUAAGGUAACGGCUUACCAAGGCAACGAUGCGUAGCCGACCUGAGAGGGUGAUCGGCCACACUGGAACUGAGACACGGUCCAGACUCCUACGGGAGGCAGCAGUAGGGAAUCUUCCGCAAUGGGCGAAAGCCUGACGGAGCAACGCCGCGUGAGUGAUGAAGGUCUUCGGAUCGUAAAACUCUGUUAUUAGGGAAGAACAAAUGUGUAAGUAACUAUGCACGUCUUGACGGUACCUAAUCAGAAAGCCACGGCUAACUACGUG
rnacentral:rRNA from 1 species